CCUACGGGGGGCAGCAGUGAGGAAUAUUGGUCAAUGGCCGAGAGGCUGAACCAGCCAAGUCGCGUGAGGGAUGACGGCCCUACGGGUUGUAAACCUCUUUUGUCGGGGAGCAAGACCCGCCUCGUGCAGGCGGAGCGAGAGUACCCGAAGAAAAAGCAUCGGCUAACUCCGUGCCAGCAGCCGCGGUAAUACGGAGGAUGCGAGCGUUAUCCGGAUUUAUUGGGUUUAAAGGGUGCGUAGGCGGAAUGCCAAGUCAGCGGUAAAAUCGCGGGGCUCAACCUCGCUCCGCCGUUGAAACUGGCGUU
rnacentral:rRNA from 1 species